AUUGAACGCUGGCGGCAGGCUUAACACAUGCAAGUCGAGCGGGGGAAGGUAGCUUGCUACCGGACCUAGCGGCGGACGGGUGAGUAAUGCUUAGGAAUCUGCCUAUUAGUGGGGGACAACAUCUCGAAAGGGAUGCUAAUACCGCAUACGUCCUACGGGAGAAAGCAGGGGAUCUUCGGACCUUGCGCUAAUAGAUGAGCCUAAGUCGGAUUAGCUAGUUGGUGGGGUAAAGGCCUACCAAGGCGACGAUCUGUAGCGGGUCUGAGAGGAUGAUCCGCCACACUGGGACUGAGACACGGCCAGGACUCCUACGGGAGGCAGCAGUGGGGAAUAUUGGACAAUGGGGGGAACCCUGAUCCAGCCAUGCCGCGUGUGUGAAGAAGGCCUUAUGGUUGUAAAGCACUUUAAGCGAGGAGGAGGCUACUCUAGUUAAUACCUAGGGAUAGUGGACGUUACUCGCAGAAUAAGCACCGGCUAACUCUGUGCCAGCCGCCGCAGUAA
rnacentral:rRNA from 1 species